rnacentral:rRNA from 1 species
UACGUAGGGGGCGAGCGUUGUCCGGAUUUAUUGGGCGUAAAGAGCUCGUAGGCGGUUUGUCACGUCUGCUGUGAAAUCCCGAGGCUCAACCUCGGGCCUGCAGUGGGUACGGGCAGACUGGAGUGCGGUAGGGGAGAAUGGAAUUCCUGGUGUAGCGGUGGAAUGCGCAGAUAUCAGGAGGAACACCGGUGGCGAAGGCGGUUCUCUGGGCAUUACCUGACGCUGAGGAGCGAAAGUGUGGGGAGCGAACAGG